rnacentral:rRNA from 1 species
GACGAACGCUGGCGGCGUGCUUAACACAUGCAAGUCGAGCGGUAAGGCCUUUCGGGGUACACGAGCGGCGAACGGGUGAGUAACACGUGGGUGACCUGCCUUUAGCUUCGGGAUAAGCCUGGGAAACCGGGUCUAAUACCGGAUAUGACCUCAUGUCGCAUGGGUGUGGGGUGGAAAGUUCUUCGGCUAGAGAUGGGCCCGCGGCCUAUCAGCUUGUUGGUGGGGUGAUGGCCUACCAAGGCGACGACGGGUAGCCGGCCUGAGAGGGCGACCGGCCACACUGGGACUGAGACACGGCCCAGACUCCUACGGGAGGCAGCAGUGGGGAAUCUUGCGCAAUGGGCGAAAGCCUGACGCAGCGA